UACGAAGGGGGCUAGCGUUGCUCGGAAUCACCGGGCGUAAAGCGCACGUAGGCGGCUUUUUAAGUCAGGGGUGAAAUCCUGGAGCUCAACUCCAGAACUGCCUUUGAUACUGAGAAGCUUGAGUCCGGGAGAGGUGAGUGGAACUGCGAGUGUAGAGGUGAAAUUCGUAGAUAUUCGCAAGAACACCAGUGGCGAAGGCGGCUCACUGGCCCGGUACUGACGCUGAGGUGCGAAAGCGUGGGGAGCAAACAGG
rnacentral:rRNA from 1 species